GUUUUGCAGAUGCUCUUUAACAGGUUAAGGAAGAUCCCUUUUAUUCUUAGUUUGCUGUGUGUUGGUAUUAUGAAGGCGUGUUGGAUUUUGUCAAAUACUUUUUCUAACUAUAUUGAGUUUAGCCUAUGCAUGUAUUUUCCUCAGAGAGCCCACGGAGGAGAGAGAGAUGGCUAAAACAAGAAGAGAUCGGUGGAUGACUACAUCUGCCGGCCAGAAGACCACUCUGAUAGCUUUCAUGAGGAUGACUGCGUCUCCCAGCCAAAAGGCCACUCUGAUAGCUUCCAUGAGGAUGACUGCAUCUCCUGGCCAAAAGACCACUCUGAUAGCUUCCAUGAGCUCUCCCUGGGGCAUCCAUGGAGAAGAUAUUUUUGAGGGAGAAAUCCCCAAUGCUUCUUGAAUCUUGCAGCCCACACAGGGAUUUCCUACAAGCAACCCAGCCUUGAGCUAUAAAGACCUGAUCACUUUCCUGGGUGAAGACAGCAGACUGACUCAGUUAUUCUGUGGAUAGGUGACUUGAUCAAUGAGUUGGCGAGAGUUCUAAGAUGUGUCUUUCAGGCACAUAUCUCAGAUUUGUAAAAUUAUUAUUUAUUUAUUUAAUUCAUUUUUUUUUUUGAGAUGGAGACUCACUCUGUCACCCAGGCUGGAGUGCAGUGGCACAAUCUCGGCUCACUGCAACCUCCACCUCCCAGGUUCAAAUGAUUCUCCUGCCUCAGCCUCCUGAGUAGCCGGGAUUACAGGCACCUGCCACCAUGCCCAGCUAAUCUUUGUAUUUUUAGUAUAGACAGGGUUUCACCAUAUUGGCUGCACUGGUCUCCAACUCCUGACCUCAGGUGAUCCACCUGCCUCAGCCUCCCAAAUUGCUGGGAUUACAGGCAUGAACCACUGUGCCUGGCCUCAGAUUUGUAAGAUAAUUUAAACAAGACUCAGUGUCUCUGCAUCUCACACUGGUUGUAUAUUGCAUUAAAAUGGUGAUAAUUCUCCCCUAAUCAAACUGUGCCCAAUGCUGGCAAGGACACUAAUGUUAUGAAGACAAGAGGUAGCUGAAAAAUAAAGAGACAAUAGCCACGAGACAGACCCAGAGGUCAGGCAGGGCAGGGUUGCCGUGAGGACAUGGCUCGUCCCACAGGACCUGGGAACUGGUGGUCACAGCAGUGCAAGGUCCUGUUCUCUCCUCUGCAGGGACAGACAGGCCACCAGCCUGACAGAGACGGCAUUAGUGGGCAGCUGCCAGGAACUAGCAGGGAUUGCACUAGACUUUAUAGCGCCAUAGUUCAGAAUUGCUGGAUUUGGAGACAAAAUCCAGGUUUGAAUUGUGAUUCUAUUUCUUACUGCUCCGUGUCCUGGGGCAGCCAGGUCAGCUCUCUGAGCCCUAUGGUCUCCAUGGCUGAGUGAGAAUGCCCGCCUCCACUCAGAACCAGCCAGUGUGGUGCCAGCAACCUAUCUAACACAAGCAAAGAGGAUUUCUUAAUGAAAACAUUUUGUCUUGCACAAAACAAUACUCAAUUUAAGAAACAGCAAAUGCAGAAAAGGAAAAAGAGGAUUAGAAAACUAUAGAAAGAGCUCAGUGCAUGGCAAGAGUUUAAUAAAUAUUAGUUCUUCCCAUUUAGUUUUGCUUUCCAACCCAACAAGCGUGCUUCGAAAGACAGAGAAGAAAGAGGGAUUAUGGCAAAAGCAGUGAUAAGAGUUUCUUGCAUCUUCACAGAUCAAGCAUCUUGGUCUGCAACCAGGUUUUUCUGAACAAAGGGUUAGGAGCCAAAGUUUGGGGUGGUGAAAGCCAUGGGGCCCAUGUUAGGAUGAGGACAAGUGUGCAUAUGGGUGGCAGGUGGUUUUGCCCAGAAUGAACUGGAGGGUGAUGAUCCUGGAUCUGGCAGUGAAGCGGCAGUGUCUGCUCAGCAGGAGCGGGAGGUGUGGAGCCACUUCGUCACACUCUCAGCUGCACGGCUUUGGGCCACAGCCUGUAGACACUGGUGGAAUCUGCUUAG
rnacentral:lncRNA from 1 species